rnacentral:rRNA from 1 species
AUCUACAGCCAUACCACCUUGAACAUACCUGAUCUUGCCUGAUCUCAGAAGCUAGCAGGGCUGGAUCUGAUUAGUAUUUGGAUGGAAGAUAAAUAUUCCAUCAGUGUCAAUC